rnacentral:lncRNA from 1 species
GCGGCGGGCUUCCUAUGCGCACUGCCUUCCGCAGCCGCGUGUCAUGCAUUUGUGCCGCACUUAGCGGACCGCCGCAGCGGCUUUUCUAUAAGCGCACCGCCUUCCGCGGCCGCUGUCUAUAUGCUCCUAAAUCAACGCCUUCAAUUCGGCGUGCCGCCGCGGCGGGCUUCCUAAGCGCACUGCCUUCCGCAGCCGCGUGUCAUGCAUUUGUGCCGCACAUAGCGGACCGCCGCAGCGGCUUUUCUACAAGCACACCGCCUUCCGCGGCCGCUGUCUAUAUGCUCCUAAAUCAACGCCUCGAUAUCGGCGUGCCGCCGCGGCGGGCUUCCUAAGCGCACUGCCUUCCGCAGCCGCGUGUCAUGCAUUUGUGCCGCACUUAGCGGACCGCCGCAGCGGCUUUUCUAUAAGCUCACCGCCUCCCGCGGCCGCUGUCUAUAUGCUCCUAAAUCAACGCCUUCAAUUCGGCGUGCCGCCGCGGCGGGCUUCCUAAGCGCACUGCCUUCCGCAGCCGCGUGUCAUGCAUUUGUGCCGCACAUAGCGGACCGCCGCAGCGGCUUUUCUACAAGCACACCGCCUCCCGCGGCCGCUGUCUAUAUGCUCCUAAAUCAACGCCUUCGAUUCGGCGUGCCGCCGCGGCGGGCUUCCUAAGCGCGCUGCCUUCCGCAGCCGCUUGUCAUGCAUUUGUGCCGCACUUAGCGGACCGCCGCGGCGGCUUUAUGAUGUAGCUGUAGUCCGUCCACACGUCCGAAGGCUCCGGGUCCGUCCACGCGUCUUGACUUCAACUUUCGUUUGCUUGCGGAUUUCUUGACGCCAUCCUGUAUGCCUGUCUUGCUCAUUGUUCUUUACGCCUUCGCACGUAGGGUAGCUGUUAUGUUGGUAAGUAUCCUGCACCGGGCUAUCUGGCGACUCGCGAGGAUACCAGGGUAAAUCAGGCGAACUCAAGACAAAGGGCGCCGAUCAAGCCCCUCGCAACCUCUUGCCAACCAAGAGCUACUCCCGGCAAAACGGACUCCCAGCUAAAGCCUCGCCAACUGCGGGAGGCCGAGAUAAAACCACCUUUCCUACUGACCUACGGACCUCGCGAACCCAACUAGAAUUCCCCCGCCCACCGACAAGCAACAGAACCCACUAUUCAGGUGCCUCUACUCACGGCCGAACCAACCCAACCACCCGCGCAGUGCCCGCGCGCUUCACUUACUUGCAUGGAUGCCGUUGGCCCGCAAUGUCGAUCUGCGCGUCGCCGUUGUUGUUGUCUUCUCAUAUAUAAGAGACGGCGUUCUAUUGUAGGCAAAACCAAAGAUAUAGGCAAUCUAACAUCACUCGUCAAGCGAUUUCGACCUCGACUUUUUCUAGUCUUUCUCGUCGUCUAUUUUCUGUAAUCCGUCUUAAUAAAGCUUAGUUGGUACCUGUUGUCUGACUCUGCAUUCUGUGCUGGAAUGGCCAAAACUCGGACUGUCUCGUCCUGGUGUGAUAUCCGUGGUUGGCAUAGGGCCCUCCGUACUUCUGUAUUUG